CGAAAGCCUGACGGAGCAAUACCGCGUGAGGGAGGAAGGCUCUUGGGUCGUAAACCUCAAAACUUAGGGAAGAAGAAAAUGACGGUACCUAAUAUAAGCAUCGGCUAACUCCGUGCCAGCAGCCGCGGUAAUACGGAGGAUGCAAGCGUUAUCCGGAAUCAUUGGGCGUAAAGAGUCCGUAGGUGGCUAAUCAAGUCUGCUGUCAAAGGCCGAAGCUUAACUUCGGAAAGGCGGUGGAAACUGAAGAGCUAGAGUACAGAAGGGGUAGAGGGAAUUCCCAGUGUAGCGGUGAAAUGCGUAGAGAUUGGGAAGAACACCAGUGGCGAAGGCGCUCAACUGGGCCGUAACUGACACUCAGGGACGAAAGCUAGGGUAGCG
rnacentral:rRNA from 1 species